UACGUAGGGGGCAAGCGUUGUCCGGAAUCAUUGGGCGUAAAGAGCGUGUAGGCGGCCAGAAAAGUCCGCUGUGAAAACUCGAGGCUUAACCUCGAGAUGUCAUCGGAAACCAUUUGGCUAGAGUCCGGAAGAGGAGAGUGGAAUUCCUGGUGUAGCGGUGAAAUGCGCAGAUAUCAGGAAGAACACCAAUGGCGAAAGCAGCUCUCUGGGACGGUACUGACGCUGAGACGCGAAAGCGUGGGGAGCGAACAGG
rnacentral:rRNA from 1 species